rnacentral:rRNA from 1 species
GAUGAACGCUGGCGGCGUGCCUAACACAUGCAAGUCGAGCGAGGGUUUGCUCAGUAUUGAGUAUCCUAAGACUAGAAUGUUCAAUUCUGAGCAAAACCAAGCGGCGGACGGGUGAGUAACGCGUGGGUAACCUGCCCUAUACACAUGGAUAACAUACUGAAAAGUUUACUAAUACAUGAUAAUAUAUAUUUGCGGCAUCGCAGAUAUAUCAAAGUGUUAGCGGUAUAGGAUGGACCCGCGUCUGAUUAGCUAGUUGGUGAGAUAACUGCCCACCAAGGCGACGAUCAGUAGCCGACCUGAGAGGGUGAUCGGCCACAUUGGAACUGAGACACGGUCCAAACUCCUACGGGAGGCAGCAGUGGGGAAUAUUGCACAAUGGGCGAAAGCCUGAUGCAGCAACGCCGCGUGAACGAUGAAGGUCUUCGGAUCGUAAAGUUCUGUUGCAGGGGAAGAUAAUGACGGUACCCUGUGAGGAAGCCCCGGCUAACUACGUGCCAGCAGCCGCGGUAAUACGUAUGGGGCUAGCGUUAUCCGGAUUUACUGGGCGUAAAGGGUGCGUAGGUGGUCCUUCAAGUCGGUGGUUAAAGGCUACGGCUCAACCGUAGUAAGCCGCCGAAACUGGAGGACUUGAGUGCAGGAGAGGAAAGUGGAAUUCCCAGUGUAGCGGUGAAAUGCGUAGAUAUUGGGAGGAACACCAGUAGCGAAUGCGUCUUUCUGGGACUGCAACUGACACUGAGGCACGAAAGCGUGGGUGCAAACAUGAUUAAGAUACCCCUGGUAGUCCAAAGGCGAUUCCACAUUGGAGAUCUGGCUUAUCGAUACCCCCCAACCUCGAGGGGGAAACAAAAUACACAAAUAUUGUACCCUUAGUGAGGGGUUAAUAAACGGACUGCGAUCACUGUGCCUGCCUGCCCCUCGCCCGUGGUGUGUGUGUGGUGGUGUUGGUGGUGUUUGUGUGUGUUGACUGUGUGUGUGUGUAGG